UACGGAGGAUCCGAGCGUUAUCCGGAAUUAUUGGGUUUAAAGGGUGCGUAGGCGGCCAUUUAAGUCAGCGGUGAAAUUCUGCAGCUUAACUGUAACAGUGCCGUUGAUACUGUUUGGCUAGGAUUUGGUUGUAGUGUGCGGAAUGUGUGGUGUAGCGGUGAAAUGCUUAGAUAUCACACAGAACACCGAUUGCGAAGGCAGCACACUAAGUCAUUAUUGACGCUGAGGCACGAAAGUGUGGGGAUCAAACAGGAUUA
rnacentral:rRNA from 1 species